UACGUAGGGGGCAAGCGUUGUCCGGAUUUACUGGGCGUAAAGAGCGUGUAGGCGGCCAGGUAGGUCGGUUGUGAAAACUGGAGGCUCAACCUUCAGAGGUCGACCGAAACCAUCUGGCUAGAGUCCGGGAGAGGAGAGUGGAAUUCCUGGUGUAGCGGUGAAAUGCGCAGAUAUCAGGAGGAACACCAAUUGCGAAGGCAGCUCGCUGGGACGUAACUGACGCUGAGACGCGAAAGCGUGGGGAGCAAACAGG
rnacentral:rRNA from 1 species